CCCGUUCCCGUACAAUCACCGAAGUUAAGCAACGUCCAACCUGGUCAGUACCUAGAUGGGUAACCGCUUGGGAAUACUAGGUGCUGUAA